rnacentral:rRNA from 1 species
UACGUAGGCAGCGAGCGUUGUUCGGAAUUACUGGGCGUAAAGAGUGUGUAGGCGGUGCUCCCAGUCUGUUGUGAAAUCUCCCGGCUUAACUGGGAGGGUGCAGCGGAAACUAGAGUGCUAGAGGGUGGGAGAGGUAAGCGGAAUUCCUGGUGUAGCGGUGGAAUGCGUAGAUAUCAGGAGGAACACCUGUGGUGUAGACAGCUUACUGGACCACUUCUGACGCUGAGACACGAAAAGCGUGGGUAGCAAACAGG